rnacentral:lncRNA from 1 species
CUCAAUGAAAUUUUUACAGUGUGUUGUACUACUUUUGGGACAAAUUAUAUCAAAAUUAUAGAAAACUUCAUCGGCUCUAACUCAAAAUAUGGACAAUUUUAUGUUUAGGUCGUCUUGAAAUCUUUUGACAGCUUCCGAAGUGCUCAUUUUUAACCUUUUUCAGCUGGACCAAAUCACUACUUUCCUUUAAAAUUCUGGACCCAAAUUUUUUUACAGUGUAAUUUCACCCCCCUACUUGCAAUUUGAG